GCCCGGGUGGUGGAACGGUAUACACGCGGCGCUUAAACCGCUGCGCCCGAAAGGGCUUGUGGGUUCGACUCCCACCCCGGGCA
rnacentral:tRNA from 1 species